GGAUCUCAUAUAACACAGUUUCACACAUCAUACUGUUUUUCAGGAACCUGUCUAUCGUGUUAUAAGAAGGAUACUUGUAUACUUACUUUUAUUAAAAGAAAUAUUUGCAUACUCAUAUAUUUAAUACUUUGAAAAAUGAAGAGCAAAGUGAGAAAAUAUAGGAAAAUAUGAAGAAAGCAAAGCAGAGAAGUAUGGUAGGAUACUAGUGGAAAGGAGAUGAUACUCUUUAGUUACAUAUUAUGACAGAUGGUAGGUGAAUUCUGUCUCCACUCAGAGAAAUGCAAUAGUAUUUUGCUUAUUGAAAGAGAUAGAGAUUCAUCAGAUUCAUUCUUCAUUCAUCAGAUUAACUCUGAUGAAUGAAGAAUGAAGUUAGAAGAGAAUAGGCAAGCAUGGAGAAAGAGAAAAAGAAUGCCAGUAAAAAUAUAUCAAGAUUGCUAGUAGAAAAGAGAGCUCCUCCUUUAAUCACCUCUUUUGACAUAAAGUGAGGCAAUGAAUGACUUAUCUCCUAUCCCCAGGAAAAUGCAAUAGUUACUGUAAUUAUCAUGUGGUGUCCAGAUUCAGUUUCUUCAUACCCUUCAUUAUUGUUUUUCCCAGCAUGAAGAGGUAGAUUCAGAUAACAGUAUCAAGGAUGGAUUGGUCUGGUAUAUAUAAUGUUUAAAAACCUCUACUGGUGUACUGGUCUACUGGAAUAAGACAUACUCACAUAAACCUCUGUUCAGGAGUUUGUGUGAAUAUGUCUUAUUCUUAUUUUUUUGACAGUACCACUCUUUUAAGUGGAAAUCUAUGAUAUUUCUGUAAGUGUUAAAAUCAGUCAUGAUAAAUAAUAUGUUAAUAAAUAUAUUUAUAUUCUAUCAGAUAAUCACAUUGUAUUAAAAACACUUGAGAAUGCCACUGUACUUCCAAACUUGUGUGGGAUUGCCGUCAUCUAAUUGUGGACUGGCUAUCAGGAACAGGCUCAGCUUGUUUGGAUGCCAGGGCACAAAGGGAUUGAUGUCAAUGAGGUGGCAAAUGAGUUGGCCAAGGAAAAAUCUCUUAUCCCUUUUAUUGGAUCUAAGCUUAUCCUGGGCAUUAGAGCUGAUUGUCAGGGAAUGGUUAGCAGCUCAGCAUCUCUCCAUUGGAAAUCUAACUAGUAAAUGAUGUUAAGAAGUUGAAAUUUUUCACAUUUUGUGCAAAUGUAUGAUCUUUUCAGGGUUAACAUAUGAUUUUAUAAGUUUG
rnacentral:lncRNA from 1 species